rnacentral:rRNA from 1 species
GGGUGCGAUCAUACCAGCGUUAAUGCACCGGAUCCCCUCAGAACUCCGCAGUUAAGCGCGCUUGGGCUAGAGU